rnacentral:piRNA from 1 species
GAACUGUAUGUGAUUUUUAUCUUCAGUUA